AUUGACUUUCAGAAUUUCAAAAAUAUUUUAUAUCUAAUGAAGAAAAAGGAAAACAAACAGUAUAAAAAAAUUAUGUAAAUUUUAAAACAAGAUCAGGUGUUUUCAUUAAAAGUAUUUAUCAGAUGUUUAAAUUAGAAUGUAUUCAAAUUUGGGAAAUUAAUUUUAAAGUAAAAGAUAUCUUCUGAAAAUGAAGGCUGGUCAUUGUCAUAGACUCAUGGCAUUAUAAUGCUUUAUAAAUUUAUCCAAAAAAAAUAUGUUUAACUAUUUUAAUUCACUGCCAGUGAUUGUUUUUGUCUUUUCAACUGUUUCAGAGAUGCAUCUGUUGCAUUUGAACAAUAUUUUAAAAAAAAAGUGCAUUAAUUGUUUUAAACUUGUAUUGAGUAUUUUUUUGUGUGUGACUUAUAACUAUACUUAAAUCUACUGAAAUAUUUUUUUUAUUCUUACUGUGUGGAACUCCUUAUUGCAAUUUCAUGUAUGUUAACACUCAAGUAAGUUUGAGGUAUUUUGAUAUAUGGAUAGGAAUUUAGAAAUUGCUCUCAAAUUAUGUUUAAAUAUGUUUUUAUUUGUUAUUAUAAUUUUAAAACAAAUAAUGGAAAAAUACUGUGCUUCAAGUACCGGUAGUAAUAGAACAAAAUAUUGUUGAUCUUGCUCUGUAUAUUAAAAACAUAAUCCUUAUUUAUUUAUCGAAAGGCAUUGUUAUAACAGAAAUCUUGAUACAUUCCUAAUAUAUUGUGUUAUUUAUUAAUAAAGAAAAU
rnacentral:lncRNA from 1 species